UUGGUUUCUUCUUCUUGCGAUUCGGAUUUACAACAGCCGUUGGAUUUGCGAAACGGCAAUUGAACACACCUGUCUAUCUGUUUCUCUUCCGCAUUGUCCUAAAAAUUAAAAAAUUUUAUAAUGAUCCCUCCAAGAAAAAAUCUGUCUCAUAUUAUACCUGAUUCGAUAAUGUAACCCAUGAAAAACAUGCCACCAAAAAAUAAAGCUAGUAGAAGAAGUACUAGAGUAACUGGAU